rnacentral:lncRNA from 1 species
GUUUGCCACCAGGUCUGCCCUUGGAAGGGUUAACAUGGCCUCUUUGUCCCAUGGUUGCCAUGGGGACAGUUCCUGUCCUUCAGGAAGCAGGGAGAGCAGUUUCCUGUUUUGAAGAAGGCUUGAGGGCUGUUUUCCUCCAAUCAGCCUGCCCAAAGAGGGGCAGGAAGCCUAAGGCCGGGCUGCCCCUGCUGAUGGGUGUCUGGCUCUGAUUUGCUGCCCCUGGAGCCAGGAAGACAACUCAAUGACUUUCCAGGGAAGAUAAGCCGUGGAAGCUGAUGAGGCUGCAGCUGUGGCAUUGCGGGGUGAGCGGUCCAAGGCUGUGGGGACCUGGGGGUCAGCAGCUGGAGAGGCUGCAAGGCCAGGGGCAUUUCCAUUUUAG